rnacentral:rRNA from 1 species
GACGAACGCUGGCGGCGUGCCUAACACAUGCAAGUCGAGCGAGUGAAUCUCCUUCGGGAGUGAAGCUAGCGGCGGACGGGUGAGUAACACGUGGGCAACCUGCCUCAUAGAGGGGAAUAGCCUUUCGAAAGGAAGAUUAAUACCGAAUAAGAUUGUAGCUUCGCAUGAAGUAGCAAUUAAAGGAGCAAUCCGCUAUGAGAUGGGCCCGCGGCGCAUUAGCUAGGUGGUGAGGUAACGGCUCACCAAGGCGACGAUGCGUAGCCGACCUGAGGGGGUGAUCGGCCACAUUGGGACUGAGACACGGCCCAGACUCCUACGGGAGGCAGCAGUGGGGAAUAUUGCACAAUGUGGGAAACCCUGAUGCAGCAACGCCGCGUGUGUGAUGACGGCCUUCGGGUUGUAAAGCUCUGUCUUCAGGGACGAUAAUGACGGUACCUGAGGAGGAAGUCACGGCUAACUACGUGCCAGCAGCCGCCGUAA